GACGUAGGAUGCAAGCGUUGUCCGGAAUUAUUGGGCGUAAAGAGUUCGUAGGCGGUUAUCUAAGUCUGGUGUUAAAGCCCGAAGCUCAACUUCGGCAUGGCAUUGGAAACUGGAUGGCUAGAGUGUGGUAGAGGUAUCGGGAAUUCCUGGUGUAGCGGUGAAAUGCGUAGAUAUCAGGAGGAACACCGGUGGCGAAAGCGCGAUACUGGGCCAUAACUACGCUGAG
rnacentral:rRNA from 1 species